UACGGACAGCCUAGUCUUCGUCUCCCUCGUUAAGUUCCUCCUCUCUCACCCAAACCAAAACCUUCCCAGCUCUCAUCAAUGGCUUCCGUACCCAAUCCACUCAACAAUGAAAAUCCCAACAAAAACGAUACAAAUCCCAAUAACACGAACACCAUUCCCAUCUUCAUCUCCACUGAGUCUUUGCACGCCAUCCUCUCUCACCCAACUCUAAUAGAUCACUUGCAAUCAUCUCUCCCUGCAGCCUCGUCCACCCUCCAAACCCCAAUUCGCCAAAGCUACUCCGUUUCACAAUCCUCCUCUCUCCUUCUCAUGCCUUCUUGGUCCUCAUCCCCUUCUCUCCCCUACGUAGGUGUCAAGCUCGUCACCUAUUUCCCUCAAAACUCCGCGCUGAACUUGCCAGGAGUGCACGCAAGUUACGUGCUCUUCAGCUCUGUAACUGGGCAAACUUUGGCUUCCAUGGAUGGCACUGUGUUGACCCUUUAUAGAACCUCGUGUGUCUCUGGCUUAGCCUCUAAGAUUUUGGCUAGAAAUGACAGUGAAACGCUUGUGAUGAUUGGUGCUGGUGCUAUGGCACCCCAUUUGAUCAAAGCACAUCUUUCGGCUAGACCCAGUUUGCGAAGGGUGAUCAUUUGGAACAGAACAAUAGAACAAGAAAAUUGGCCGAGGAAAUGAGUGAAAAUGCUGGGUUUGAUGGGGUGUGUUUUGAGAGUAAUGAGUGUUUGGAGGAAAUUGUUGGAUUGGGAGAUAUUGUGAGCUGUGCAACGAAUUUGGAAACACCAGUUGUUAAGGGCGAGAGGUUGAAGGCAGGGGCGCAUUUGGAUUUGGUUGGAUCCUUCAAGCACUCGAUGAUGGAGUGUGACGACGAAGCAAUAAGGAGAGGAAGAGUGUUUGUGGAUAAUGAGGCUGCAUUGGUGGAAGCUGGAGAAUUGGUGGGUGCUUUUGAGAGAAGGGUAAUCGAAAAGGGAGAUAUUGGAGGAAAUUUGGUAGAGUUGAUUAAAGGAGAAAAGGUUGGCAGAAGAAGUUCAGAAGAGAUAACAGUAUUUAAGUCUGUUGGCUCUGCAAUUGUUGACAUUCUUGCAGCACAAUUGGUUUAUGAAACUUAUAUUGGAAAGCAGUAACUUGUCAAUUUGUUUUCUUUCUCGCACAUUUUGAUUUUGUUAAUUGUAACAUUUCUAUAUGUCUUUCUCGCACAUUUUGUUUUUUUAAUAAUUUUAACAUUUCUAUUCUGUCUAAUUUCUAUGCCUAUGUUAUACCAUUUGCACAAGUCUUUGUGAUAUUAAUCCACGCCCUACUUAGUCAUGUAGACUAAACCUCUUAGUCUUAGACA